ACCGGAGGAAGACCAACAGGGAUUGCCUCAGUAACGGCGAGUGAAGCGGCAAAAGCUCAAAUUUGAAAUCUGGCCCUCUCAGGGUCCGAGUUGUAAUUUGUAGAAGAUGCUUCGGGUGUGGUCCCGGUCUAAGUUCCUUGGAACAGGACGUCAUAGAGGGUGAGAAUCCCGUAUGUGACUGGGUACCUACGCUCAUGUGAAGCUCUUUCGACGAGUCGAGUUGUUUGGGAAUGCAGCUCUAAAUGGGUGGUAUAUUUCAUCUAAAGCUAAAUAUUGGCCAGAGACCGAUAGCGCACAAGUAGAGUGAUCGAAAGAUGAAAAGCACUUUGGAAAGAGAGUUAAACAGUACGUGAAAUUGUUGAAAGGGAAGCGCUUGCAAUCAGACUUGCGCCUGGUGUUCAGCGGGGUUUCGUGCCCCGUGUACUUCAUCAGGUUCAGGCCAGCAUCGGUUUGGGUGGUUAGAUAAAGGCCUUGAGAAUGUGGCCCUCUUCGGGGGGUGUUAUAGCUCUCGGUGCAAUGUAGCCUACCUGGACCGAGGACCGCGCUUCGGCUAGGAUGCUGGCGUAAUGGUUGUAAGCGACCCGUCUUGAAACACGGACCAAGGAGUUGAAUAUCUAUGCGAGUGUUUGGGUGUUAAACCCCUACGCGUAAUGAAAGUGAACGGAGGUGAGAACCCUUUAGGGUGCAUCAUCGACCGAUCCUGAUGUCUUCGGAUGGAUUUGAGUAAGAGCAUAGCUAUUCUGACCCGAAAGAUGGUGAUCUAUACGUGAAUAGGGUGAAGCCAGAGGAAACUCUGGUGGAGGCUCGCAGCGGUUCUGACGUGCAAAUCGAUCGUCAAAUUUGCGUAUAGGGGCGAAAGACUAAUCGAACCAUCUAGUAGCUGGUUCCUGCGAUGUUUUCUCUC
rnacentral:rRNA from 1 species